UGAAGCAGCAUGCAGGGUCUUUGUAGGACAGAGCACAGAGUUGAACUUCUGAUAGAGGACACCGAAUGUAUUAGUGUAAGAGCUUAUGCAAGAUUUGAAAUACGCUUCUAGUAACUCAUUGCUCGAUGCUCCUUGACCGUUCAAAUUGAACUGGAUAUUCCUUAAGUGACUUGUUCUCCAGGCUGGGCUGCGCCCUUGGGCAUAUUGGCCUAGAGCACUUAAAGCUUCCGAUGCAGUAGAUACGACGGGAGGGAGGCAGAGGUUGAAGCUCACACUUCGAAGGCUCUGCUUUGUCCAUGUGUAGGAUGCUUCCCUGUAAUUUGUUGAAACUUGUCUUCACUCUACACAAGGUCAUUAAGGACAGACAAGAUGGAACUGUGCCUGAGUUUGUAUCUGGCCAACCUACUUUAAGAACAUGCUCUCUGCUUGUUAAGAAGAUAUAAAAAUCAUGUCUUGUAGACAGCCUUAUUGGGGUGCCAUGCCACCUGGCAGGAACUUGACCUCAACCAAUGUGAAGUUCCUCUCCCAGCCUUUGAGCAGGAACUCCUAUUAGCCAUAAUCCCCUCCACCUAGGGUGGAGCGCUCAGACCAAGGUGAAGUUCAUUGUUCUUCAAGGACCUGCAGUUUCCUGAGAAACUCUAGCCACCUGUGGAGCAACUGAACCGGUUCUACCGAGA